ensembl:snoRNA
CUGCAUCCACUGAUAGACCUUGAACAAUUUGUUGUUCUUUAGGUUUGCACUAGGAUGCUAAAGGAAAUAAUCCCUGCGCUUUCUGUCUGUCUUUAUGGCAGCCCAGAUUGAAUUAGGGAGUACAUUU